AUUGCCCUAGUAACGGCGAGUGAAGCGGCAACAGCUCAAAUUUGAAACCUGGCGCAAGCCCGGAUUGUAAUUUGUAGAGGAUGCUUCUGGGCAGCGGCCGUUCUAAGUUCCUUGGAACAGGACGUCAUAGAGGGUGAGAAUCCCGUAUGUGACCGGCGCGCACCCUCCACGUAGCUCCUUCGACGAGUCGAGUUGUUUGGGAAUGCAGCUCUAAAUGGGUGGUAAAUUCCAUCUAAAGCUAAAUAUUGGCCAGAGACCGAUAGCGCACAAGUAGAGUGAUCGAAAGAUGAAAAGCACUUUGGAAAGAGAGUUAAAAAGCACGUGAAAUUGUUGAAAGGGAAGCGCUUACAACCAGACUCCGCGGCGGUGUUCCGCCGGUCUUCUGACCGGUCUACUCGCCGCCGUGGGGCCAACAUCGUCUGGGGCCGCCGGAUAAGACCGUAGGAAUGUAGCUCAUUGAGUGUUAUAGCCUGCGGUGAUGCGGCGCGCCCCGGGCGAGGUCCGCGCUUCGGCAAGGAUGUUGGCGUAAUGGUUGUCAGCGGCCCGUCUUGAAACACGGACCAAGGAGUCUAACAUCUAUGCGAGUGUUCGGGUGUCAAACCCCUACGCGUAAUGAAAGUGAACGGAGGUGGGAAGCUUCGGCUGCACCAUCGACCGAUCCUGAUGUCCUCGGAUGGAUUUGAGUAAGAGCAUAGCUGUUGGGACCCGAAAGAUGGUGAACUAUGCCUGAAUAGGGUGAAGCCAGAGGAAACUCUGGUGGAGGCUCGCAGCGGUUCUGACGUGCAAAUCGAUCGUCAAAUUUGGGUAUAGGGGCGAAAGACUAAUCGAACCAUCUAGUAGCUGGUUCCUGCCGA
rnacentral:rRNA from 1 species